GACAUUUAGAGGUCAAUAUAUAUAUGGAUUUUGACCGAUGUUUAAAUCAUAUAUCAAUCUGUGAAUCCACCAGAAGAGGUAUUGGCAUGGUCAAUCUUAUAAGAUUCCAAACAGUUACUAUCAUCCUUUCAAUAUACGUCACUGUCGGAUGUACCUAUUUUCGUUUGAAGUAUAUAAACCUUAUAAGACACUUAAACAUUAUCGGCCUUACUAGUACUAACUUAAAGUAGAUGUGUAAGUAUUAUAUACAUGUAACAUUUACUGGUACAAACUUGCACAUACACAAGUUCAUGUCAGUGGCUAAUGACAAAAUGUCAAUUUACCAUAGAGGUCUGGAGACCAACAUCGAUAGCAACUCGUCUGACUAUUACAGGAGAUUUCAAAAUACGGAAAAUAUGGACUUUAAUGAGCAAAUGAGUCAACGUCAAACAUUUUGGGAAAAAAAUAGAAAUUUACUUUUUCUCGUUGCUGGAUUGGUGGUAGGAUGUUUUGUGACUGUGAUCAUAAGUUAUGCUUUCUUUUCUCUUGGGCAGAAUAAGGGACAUGGAAAUUGCCAGCCGUAUGGUAAGAAAU
rnacentral:lncRNA from 1 species